GAUGAACGCUAGCGAUAGGCUUAACACAUGCAAGUCGAGCGGCAGCAUGGUCUUAGCUUGCUAAGACUGAUGGCGACCGGCGCACGGGUGCGUAACGCGUAUGCAACCUGCCUCACAGAGGGGGAUAACCCGUCGAAAGACGGACUAAUACCGCGUACACUCCAUCUUGGGCAUCCACGGUAGAGGAAAUGAAAUUCGCUGUGAGAUAGGCAUGCGUCCCAUUUGCUAGUUGGGGAGGUAACGGCUCACCAAGGCGAGGAUGAGUAGGGGAACUGAGAGGUUGAACCCCCGCACGAGUACUGGGACACGGACCAUGCGCCUGCGGGAGGCAGCAGUGAGGAAUAGUAGUCAAUAGGCGAGAGUCUGAGACAGCCAAGGCGCGUGAAGGAUGGCUGUCUUAUGGAUUGUAAGCUUCUUUUAGACGGGAAAAGCAAGAGUCACGUGUGACUCACUGCAUGUACCGUAUGAAUAAGCAUCGGCUAACUCCGUG
rnacentral:rRNA from 1 species